rnacentral:rRNA from 1 species
CCUACGGGAGGCUGCAGUGAGGAAUAUUGGUCAAUGGUCGGGAGACUGAACCAGCCAAGCCGCGUGAGGGAUGAAGGUACAGAGUAUCGUAAACCUCUUUUGUCAGGGAACAAAGGCGGGGACGUGUCCCCGGAUGAGUGUACCUGAAGAAAAAGCAUCGGCUAACUCCGUGCCAGCAGCCGCGGUAAUACGGAGGAUGCGAGCGUUAUCCGGAUUUAUUGGGUUUAAAGGGUGCGCAGGCGGUCUGUUAAGUCAGCGGUCAAAGCCCGGGGCUCAACCCGGGCCCGCCGUUGAAACUGGCAGUCUCGAGUGGGAGAGAAGUAGGCGGAAUGCGCGGUGUAGCGGUGAAAGGCAUAGAUAUCGCGCAGAACUCCGAUUGCGAAGGCAGCAUGCCGGAUCCACACUGACGCUGAGGCACGAAAGCGUGGGUAUCGAACAGGAUUAGAUACCCCUGUAGUC